GGGAGAUUUGCUGGGACUUGGUUUUGAUGCACCUGAUGCUUCUUCCAUUGAGGAAAAGAAUGCUUUAGCCUUGGCAAUAGUUCCCUCAGAACCUGCAUUUGGUUCUGGUGCUACUCAAUCUAAAGACUUCAAUCCCACUGGAUGGGAGCUUGCUCUGGUCUCUACCCCAAGUACUAACAUCUCUGCGGCUAAUGAGAGGCAACUGGUAAUCUGUCUUUAUCUUCUAUGAUUCUGUUGCAAAUGAAUUCUGUGAGCAUUAACAUCACGAACUGUUUGUUUGCUGCUGUUGCUUGACUUUUAUUACAUGGUUAGGAAUUCAAAGGGCAAUUUCAAUGUCUUUUCUUCUGGCCUCAGUAGUCCA